UGAUGUUGUGGUCCUCUAAUCAGUUCUAUAAUUGUCGCAGCGUAUGCCGGCAUCAGUAUUUAUUAUUGAAGCACAAUGUCUGGUUCUAUCCUGACGAUGCAUUUUGUCCUGUAACAGUAGCCGAAUACGCGAACUGAGUAGUAGAAGGAGUAAGGAUCAGUAAAUACUCAAAGCCGGGCAUGGUCGGGUGGAUGUAAUCAAUUCCAGCACUGCCAGACGCUCGCUGCUGGAUCCAGAUGGCAGAGAACCAUCCUUGUCCAUGGUCACCUUCACCAUGCAGCGAAGGUCCCUCUCAUCUCCCAGCUCUUCCAGUCUCCACCACGACUUACGGGCCGUUGUUCAUUCCGUAAAAUCUUUACGUAAAUCUCUCGUCCCUCUCUCUUCAAAGCCGGGAGAAACAAGCUCUGUAAUGAGGUGACAUGGCCUGGCCUGGCCGAAAGAUGCAGAAAUGGGGGAGGAUGUGUGACUGCUGGGAGAGGAACCCAGGGGAGCUGCGGUGGAGGCCUCCUGUGCAGCAGUGGCAAGUGUGGACCGGCUGCGUUCCUGUAACGCUCUUCCAUUCUGUACUAAAAAGAGGUGGUGCAAAACGGUACCAAACUGGUAAAAAUGUACCAUAGCCGUGUGACCUUUUCCUGCUUUUAUAAGGUGAAGCUAAAGGGGAAACGCAAACGUGCAUUUAAACAAACCGUUUUAUAAAUUCCAGGUGCUGAUCUCAUGAGAGCGCCUUGCCAAAGGAAGAACACGUUGUUUGAGAGAAAAGCUAUUUAUAAACAUGUGCAAACUGAAAGGAUUUCUGUUUCCUGCUAAUCCCCAAAAUCAGCCUGAAAAGAUUUUAAAACGGAGCCUUGGACAACUGAGACAACUUAGGCAUCAAGGAUAUUGCUCUCUGCAGUAGGUGAUUCUCCUGCACCUGAUACUUCCCGAUCCUUCCUCCACAAAGAAUUAUUUCCCGGUGGCAUGGGGCGCACACCACUGCUGUGGGGUCUGCGUGUAGGUGGUCCGGGGCUCAAGAUUCUGAGGACAAACCUGUCAGUAACGAAUUGUUCCAAAAAUACAUGGAGAAAAUUGUACGUGGUGGAGGCUGGUUUUUCUGAGGUAUAUAGCGCAUUGGUGUCCCUCCUUGGUAUCAGCCGAUGGUGUAAAUACCUCACGUACCUUUCCUGUUAGAGGCUUUGAGAAGCUUCUGAAAUUAAAGCACUUACGUAACAGAUGACCCCAAUGCUUUUUCUUCUUACCUGUUUAUGUCAAGUCCAGC